rnacentral:rRNA from 1 species
AGCCGAUGAAGGACGUUACUAACGACGAUAUGCUUUGGGUAGCUGUAAGUAAGCGUUGAUCCAGAGAUUUCCGAAUGGGGGAACCCAGCAUGAGUUAUGUCAUGUUAUCGACAUGUGAAUUCAUAGCAUGUCAGAAGGCAGACCCGGAGAACUGAAACAUCUUAGUACCCGGAGGAAGAGAAAGAAAAAUCGAUUCCCUGAGUAGCGGCGAGCGAAACGGGAAUAGCCCAAACCAACAAGCUU